AUCAGAGUGUUAUGGUCUAAUACUUAGUGUUUAGUCUCCAUGUUACCUGAAAUAGGUCAAACAAGAGGUCAUAAAUGAGGUCUACUGCCUUACUACAGAUAUAAAGGUCUACUUUAGGUCUAACAUUAGGCCUGACUACAGAUAUAAGCACUACCUGAUGUAUAGCAUUAGGCCUACUGCCUGACUACAGGUAUUAGACCUACUUUGGGUCUAACAUUAGACCUACAUCCUGACAACAGGUAUAAAGGAUUAUAUAUCUAUUUUAAGCCUCUGAAUAAAUGUAUUUUCUGGUUUAAUGGUUAACUCAGUCAUCAAAAUGUUUCUUUGUUUCUUCAUUGAGUGUCUAUAGGUCUCUUAAGGUGUUGCUAUUUAAGGUGAACACCUCAAAGAAGCUGAAUAUUUUCCAUUGACGUCACGUUGGUAUGAAACCUGUUUACCUCGAUGCUAGACCCUCCUCUUCCUGUCACACAAAAAUUGUUUCAGAGAAAUGAGACCACGAGCUGAAAACUUUCCACUCGAUCGAACCAAUCGCUGCUCGUAUGUCCUUUCAUGGUAAAGUACAUCUAGUCAUGAACACGGAAAUACGCAGCAAAGACCUUGUUACUCAAAGACCCAGCUACUCUCUUACAGUCACCAUCAGACCAUCAGACCUCCCGAUUUGUAAGUCGCUCUGGAUAAGAGCGUCUGCUAAAUGACUUAAAUAAAUAAAUAAAAUCAGACCACCAGAUGGACAGGCUGUGUGUCUCUCUGAUUGCAUUCUUAUGUGCUGUUUCCUCCAGUCAGGAUGGGAUCUCUGCAACAGAGGUGGAGCUGAGAGUCAGACCAGGAGACAACAUCACUCUCUACUGUGACUGUAACAUAACUACUGGAGUAUACACUGUGUGGUAUAGGAACUGUUCUCACAAGUACCAGCCUCCUCUAGUUUUUUCAACUAAGUUUUUAAGUUCCAUCUCUCUACCUGGAUAUAAUGUGGUGUGGAACCCCUCUAACAACUCCUAUGAUCUACUGAUUGAGAACAUCACUGAAUCUGAUCUGGGACUCUACUACUGUGGGACUAUGGAGACUAACAUGGUUGGAGAAGGAAAACUAAUUAAACAGAAAGAGUUGUACCACUAUGGAAACAUCACCACUAGGAUUUCACUUGAAACCAGUCCUCCUGAGUCCUCCUCCUCCUCCCCUCCUCCUGUAGACUGUGGUCUGUGUUGGAUGUUGCUGUUCAGUCUGUGUCCUGUGUCUGCUCUCCUCUCCUCUCUCCUCUCCUCCGCCUGUGUCUACUCCUUCUGCAGAACAACAGCUCCAGCUGAGACUCAGGUUCCUCUGAACAGAACCACCACCAGGGGAAGUGACAGCAGAGAGCAGACUACAGUCGAAGAACAGAGGAGACCAAAGAAGAAGAAGAGAGUCCAGAACUCUGACUUCAGUACCUACUCAGCCAUCAAUACCAGCAGAGUGUGAGACCUAUACCAUCCAUCAAUACCAGCAGAGUGAGACCUAUACCAUCCAUCAAUACCAGCAGAGUGAGACCUAUACCAUCCAUCAAUACCAGCAGACUGAGACCUAUACCAGCCAUCAAUACCAGCAGAGUGAAACCUAUACCAUCCAUCAAUACCAGCAGAGUGUGAGACCUAUACCAUCCAUCAAUACCAACAGAGUGAGACCUAUACCAUCCAUCAAUACCAGCAGAGUGAGACCUAUACCAUCCAUCAAUACCAGCAGACUGAGACCUAUACCAUCCAUCAAUACCAGCAGAGUGAGACCUAAACCAGCCAUCAAUACCAGCAGAGUGAGACCUAUACCAGCCAUCAAUACCAGCAGUGUGACCAAUACCAGCCGUCAAUACCAGCAGACUGAGACCUGUACUAGCCAUCAAUACCAGCAGAGUGAGACCUAUACCAUCCAUCAAUUCCAGCAGAGUGAGACCUAUACCAUCCAUCAAUACCAGCAGAGUGAGACCUAUACCAUCCAUCAAUACCAGCAGAGUGUGAGACCUAUACCAUCCACCAAUACCAGCAGAGUGUGAGACCUAUACCAUCCAUCAAUACCAGCAGAGUGUGACCUAUACCAUCCAUCAAUACCAGCAGAGUGAGACCUAUACCAUCCAUCAAUACCAGCAGAGUGAGACCUAUACCAUCCAUCAAUACCAGCAGAGUGAGACCUAUACCAUCCAUCAAUAUCAGCAGAGUGUGACCUAUACCAUCCAUCAAUACCAGCAGAGUGUGACCUAUACCAUCCAUCAAUACCAGCAGAGUGAGACCUAUACCAUCCAUCAAUAUCAGCAGAGUGAGACCUAUACCAACAUUGCUGGGAGGACAAGGUGUAACAACAGUAAUUUUGAUAUUUUUUUUUUAUUUACUUAAUUUUUAGGGGAAAAUGUUGUGCUUUUUAAAAA
rnacentral:lncRNA from 1 species